rnacentral:rRNA from 1 species
UGGGGAAUAUUGGACAAUGGGCGCAAGCCUGAUCCAGCCAUGCCGCGUGAGUGAUGAAGGGCNCCGUAGGGUUGUAACGCUCUUUCAGCGAGGAGGUAAUGACGUUACUCGCAGAAGAAGCCCCGGCUAACUUCGUGCCAGCAGCCGCGGUAAUACGAAGGGGGCUAGCGUUGUUCGGAAUCACUGGGGCGUAAAGCGCACGUAGGCGGACUUUUAAGUCAGGGUGAAAUCCCGGGGCUCAACCUCGGAACUGCCUUUGAUACUGGAAGUCUGGAGUCCGAGAGAGGUGAGUGGAACUCCGAGUGUAGAGGUGAAAUUCGUAGAUAUUCGGAAGAACACCAGUGGCGAAGGCGGCUCACUGGCUCGGUACUGACGCUGAGGUGCGAAAGCGUGGGGAGCAAACAGAUUAGAUACCCUGGUAGUCCACGCCGUAACGAUGGAAGCUAGCCGUCAGGUGCAUGCAUCUUGGUGGCGCAGUUAACG